CCUGGUAAGGAACUGAGGCCUCCAGCCAACAGCCGCGUGAGUGAGCCACCUUGGAAGAGCUCCUCCUGCCCCAGGCAAGCCUUCAGGUGGCGCAGCCCCGGCCAACAUCUUCACAGCAGCCUCAUGAGAGACCCUGAGACAGAACCGCCCAGCAGAGCUGCUUCUGAAUUCCAGACCCACAGAAACUACAGAUGGAGAAAGAGAGCAAACAGUCACCACCCACUGCACAAAGUCCAGCUCUGAACGGCGACAUUUGCACCAAUUCUGAUGCUAACAGGCUCACCUGGGGAUUGAACUGACCCUCAGAACUCCCUACUCCAGACUCAGGAAGCGUCUUCUCCCCGGCCCCCGAAUGUGCUUCAUGAAGAGAACAGAUCACAAUGCGUGUCCUGGCUGCAUAUGCCUGACGAGUGAAUUAGACGGGAGAUCAACCUGCACAGGGAGAAUCCUCACUGUAAACUUCAGAAAACCAGUGAUCCUCUACUGGUCACUUUCACCUAUGACCUUGAGGAGAACUAGCAUUUUUUAGCAGAAAGGGACUUUAAAAGGUUGGCGGAGCCCCAGUUGUUUAUUUUAAUGAUGAGGAAGCCACCCCAUGGAGGGGAAGUAAAUUGAGAAAUUUCAUGAAGCAAGUCAGUGUGUUUAAAAAAGAAACAAAGAGAGUUUGUAUUAUGCUUCAGGACUAAUCUGGCUCCCUCCCUGCCCUGAGGGAUUACAUUCCAGGAAGGAGAAGAGAAAAAGUGAACAAGUCAACAUCUCAAACAAGAUAACUGCAGAAAAAGAUGAGUGUUAAGAAGAUACCCAGAAGCCGAAUAGCUGGAUCCUAUAGUAUUUCUAGUCUUAAUUUUUUGAGGAAUCUCCAUACUAUUUCCAUAGUGGCUGCACCAGUUCGAAUUCCCACCAGCAGUGUAUGAGGGUUCCCUUCUCUCCACGUCC